UACGUAGGGUGCAAGCGUUGUCCGGAAUUAUUGGGCGUAAAGAGCUCGUAGGCGGUUUGUCGCGUCGAAUGUGAAACCCGGGGCUCAACUCCGGGCCUGCAUUCGAUACGGGCAGACUAGAGUUCGGUAGGGGAGACUGGAAUUCCUGGUGUAGCGGUGAAAUGCGUAGAUAUCGUAAGGAAGACCAGUGGCGAAGGCGGGUCUCUGGACAGUUCCUGACGCUGAGGCACGAAGGUCAGGGGAGCAAACGGG
rnacentral:rRNA from 1 species